CUUUAUUGAUAUGUCUGCCCUGCCUGCACCGAAACGACUAUUCAGCCUUGAAGAAACUGUAACGUAGCCUACUGAUCUGCACCGAUGGCUCACAGGUGUUGGGAGAUGAACUUCCUAUGUUGGAUGGUAAUGCCACUGAUCUCUCCUCCCACGCUUUCUGCUCUCAGGCUGCAGUCUGAACAGUUGCUCAACUAUAGGUUGGAACUUGUAUCCCACAAACUGAGAUGCGUGUUGGAUCACCUCCUGCACUACUAAUGGCUCCGCACCUGUUUACAUCUAAUGCGUGUGAUGUCUGUAGCGAUUGGACCACUGCUCCCACUGCUGCUUCUAUGGAUGUGCACUUUUUUCCCAGUUCCUCUAUGUAGACCUCUCGCUGGUUUCCCAAGCUUUCCACAAUCCUCAGUGUGUGUGUGCACUCUGGCAUCUACAUGGGCCCACGCCCCACAACAGAAACAAGCACAGAUGAGUGUUAGGUGAGACAACCCGUCCCAGGCUACCCACCAGCCCCAACAGUACAGUUCUCCCUAAAUAUAAGCAAAAACUGCUUACCUUGGGCCCGUUGGAGAACUGAACUGCCGGAACCUGCUUCACCCGGGGCGGAACUGCUCUCCUGGUUGUCUUUCCUCAAAUCUCGGUAGGAACCUCCAGAUCUGUGGUGGAAAAUUCCACGCUCCUGGACUUCUCAACAAUUAGCACUCUGGAACCAAUUAACUCUUGUAAAGAAACCAAUUAUCACUCUGGACCAAGCAUCCGAAGAAGACCACGUAGACAGAGACUUCCCAACACUGAAGAUCUUUAUUCACUGUAUCACAAUGAUAUUACAAUCCAAACAAUGUCUGAACUGCACUACCAAGCAAUAGAGUGAAGGCGGCGCUACCAGCUGGUACCUCGACGAGAUCGAUCUGAAGUUCUGGCUGCUCUGCUCCCCCUUUUAUUCUGUUCAGAAGCGCCUCCUUCUGAGACGUCACCAGAUCGUGUUUUAGCCAAUCAGAAAGGCGGAGGAGCAAGAGGAUCCAAUCAUAAUGGUGGAAGUUUCACCCUCCUCCAUUUUUAAAGAAUACGAGCACACCUCUCAUUAGGUCACUAUGUUGAGUCAUGGUUGUUUGUGCUCUUCUGCCAUAGUUUGGGUUUUCUGGUUCUUUCCAGUUUUCCAGUUUGCAUCUGUUUUACCCUUUCAACCAGCUGGCACAUUGCCCUCACUCCUGCUUGAGUGGAAAGUCCCCUUUCCCCUAUUUCACUCUGAUCCAGCACAUGUCCGUACAUGCCUGUACAUGCCUAUACAUGUUGUUUCAUGUUGUUUCAUGUUGAUCCUUUUCUUAUGAGUAUAUGGCAUUAAAGGUUAUUAAUGUAUCUUA